UCCUUUGGGGUUUCUCAGCCUCACGGUAGGCUGAUGAUGCAAGGUAGCUUUCCUCACCCUCACAGUUCUGGUGUCUUUGCCCAGAGGAAACCUUUGGGGGGAAUCCUUACACAUCUCAGGCCUUCCUUCAGCAGAACCAGAGAGAUCUAUGGCAUUGAGUAGCAGUAGUAGUUGAGCUCUUAGAGGUGAGAGGUGGGGAAGCUGGGGACCUAUGCAGUCACCUUGCUGAGCUUCUGCCAUCUGCCAGAAGACCCACUUCCAGACGACCAGAUACAAAUAGGAAGGACUUCUAUGAAUUUAAUGGAAAAGGCUUAUUUUAACAGAGCUCUUUUUGUUUCAGAAGGCUGACUUGGUCUAGAAGGAAAUGGAUGGGAAAUGGUAAAGGCAAGCAGCGUGAAGGAGCUGCACAGUAUCUCUCAAUUCCUGGGCUGGCAGCCUAGCCACAGGGACUAUUUUCUGGCUAACAGCUUUACAUUGGAUUAGAGGUGCUUAAUUUCUUCUGUACUUUCAGGUUUCUCUGUUUUUGGAACAGUGUCUGCUGGUGCUGGAGACCAAGAGUCGGCUGUGCUUGGGAGGAGCUGGGGAUACACAGCGCAGUGCAGAGCUGUCUGCGAAGGAGAAGCUGUUUGGAUAAGAAACAGGAGGUUCAGAGCUGCUCUGGCUUUAAGCUAGAGAGAAAGGAAGUCUACCUGUCCAAUUUAAAUAAUCUCAGUGGUAUUUGCAGUGCACGUUACAAAGCUGGAAGCUGGAAUCAACCUGAGAUAUCCUCAGCAGGAGUGCAGGACCCUAUGACUGUGCCUUGAGCCCUCACAACUUUGUUUUUGGUCCCUUCAAAGAAGGAUGAGUCUUCAGGUCUCCUCACCAGCCUCUCCAAGCAGGACCUUAUUCUGCCACCUAGUAUCAACUCAGAGCAGCACCUCUCAUUCCAAGGCAGCAGUGAUACAUCACCUGUUGGGCAAGUAACUGUCCAACCAGUCAGCCUUUCUCUUGGUACGUCCAAGCCUGGUGAAAUGGUGAGGUGAGGAUGGUGAGGCCCUGGGAAAGGCUGCCCAGAGAAGCUGUGGCUGCCCCAUCUCUGACAGUACCAUGCUGAAUUGGGCUUUGGGUAGCCUGGUCUGUGGGAGGUGUCCCUGCCCAUAGCAGGG
ensembl:lncRNA